UCUAUCAGCCAGGCCAUCGUUCUCCCUUUGCGGGGAGGAAGGAAAGUCCGGACAGCGAAGGGCGACACACCGGUUAAGCGCCGGGUUUUGCAGCAGUGCAAAAACAGCUAGUGCCACAGAAAAUAACCGCCUUUAUGUAACCCAUAAAGGGUAAGGGUGAAAACGUGAGGUAAGUGCUCACGACAACUAUGGGUAACUAUAGUUUUGGGUAAACCUUGUGUGCUGUAAUGCCAUGUACACCGGCGGAUGAGAGCGGCCCGUUCCAUGUUUUUGGCUAAGGCCAGGGCAGCGCCGGAGGGUAGGCAGCAAGAUCGUAACAGUAAUGUUGCGGCAAGAUAAAUGAUGGCCACCCUGGUUUUACCGGGGCCACAGAAUCCGGCUUACGGCUGAUAGCUUUU
rnacentral:RNase_P_RNA from 1 species